AAAAUACUGACAUGUGAGCUAGUCUCUAGUCCAGGGAAUCAGAAUCUCUGGCAGUGAGGACAAGGGAUCAGAAUUACCAGUAAUUUAUUUUAUUAUUUUUAAAGUUUAUUUAUUUAUUUUGAGAGAGCACGCAAGCAGGGGAGAGGCAGAGAGAGAGAGAGGGAGAGAGAGAGAAUCUCAAGCAGGCUCCACACUGUCAGCGCGAGCCCGAUGUGGGGCUCAAACUUACAAACCAUAAGAUAGUGACCUGAGCCAAAAUCAAGAGUCAGACGCUUAACCGACUGAGCCACCCUGGCACCCCAAAGAUAUUUUCUAGUUGCAAUUGAAGUUUAGAAUUCUACAUUGGGCUGAAAAGCAUUAAUUCCACUACUCAUGUCAUUGUCAUAGCUCUGUGAAGCCCUCAGAUGUUUAGGGAGCCUGCAGUUCAAACAUGUUGCUGGCUUGUCGGAGGUAGCCUUCGUUGCCAUUAGCUCCUUAUUUUUUAAAAAGUCAGCAAGCCACAGACGAUCAUUAGUUAUAUGCAUGCUGCUCUUUUGGUACCUGUGUAUGACAUAUUUCCUCUUCCCAAUGACUUGCUAUCUAGGCAGAGAGACAGGUUCAUAAGCAUUUAUUCAAAUGCAGUAUAUGUUGGUUGCCCUAGGUACAGAAAAAAACCUUCUUCAGUUAACUCUUGAUCUUUUGGAUGAAGCAUUUGGCAGAAUCAUAGUCCUGCUGGCUCUCUAUUUACAGAAUACUCCCAAAGGAAUAUUCUCUGCUAAGGGAGGUUGAAGGUUUGAAGCGACUCGUGCAAUGUGCAGUGAUGCUGGCAGCACAUACUAAAGCUUCCAGAAGGCCCUGGCCUGGGACCACCAAAUCAGAUCUGUAUGUCAAGUCACAGUAAUCCUGCAGAAGCAGGGAUUAGUAUCAUUCAAGGAUGUGUCAGUCAGUUUCACCCAGGUGGAGUGGCAGUGGCUGGACUCAGCUCAGAAGAUCCUGUACAGGGAUGUGAUGCUGGAGAACUACAGCAAACUGGUUUCAGUGGG